CCUGCAAAGAGAUAAAGCCAGUGACAAAGCUAGCAACCUUGUCAUGAUGUCAUGAUGUGCAUAGUUUAUCUGGCGAGGACGCUAGGUAGAUGUGUGUAUAUCUUUAACAAAUCGGGAUCGGAGCUGUUUCUCUUUGAAAGGCAAAUCCGGACCUGUUGCAUACUUGCAUAUGUGCACCUCCGGUUGCGAGCUCAAAAAGAUGGACAAGACCAGCUGCUGUUGCUACUGUCAUUUUAGCUUGGCACUUUUUUUUUUAAAGAGACGAUCCAUGGCACUUUAAAAUUUUUUUUAGCUUAGCACUUAUCAACACUUCGUAUUUUAUUGUGAUCAGAUAUUUUUUCAGUCCAACACAUACGAUGGAAAGAAGAUCCAUAGCACUCGUCAUCAUCCGCAACAUGUGGAUGUUUUUUUUUCUUUUUUCCCAAGUAUCCCAGUUUUCAGUUGCGGUUUCAACUCUUCUUGUGAAGUAAGCAAGCAUGCAUCAGAGAUAUCUCAAGAGAAUCUAUGAUAAUGAUGAGUGUCGACGAAAGCUAGUCGGCAGUCUACCUUGGGGUAUACCCACGGUAGUAGUUUAUCGGUAGACGGUGCGCAAACUACGAACUCGAUGGUGACGCAAGACACGGACAAGCUUUUUAUCCAGGUUCGGCCGCCGAGUUGGCGUAAUACCUACGUCCUGCGUCUGGUUGUAUUGAUUUGUGCCGAGAGAAUAUGAUGUGAUAGGGGGUCCCUUGCCCCUCCUUAUAUAGUCUGGAGGGCAGGGUUACAGAUCUAGAAACUAAUCCUAGUCGGUUACAAUUGCCAUAGAUAAUUCGAUAUCAAUUCCUAUUCUAACCGACUAGAAUCCUGCUUGAUCUCCACGUCUUGUUUCCUUGCGCGAAACUCGGGCUGUCGGAUCAAGCCUUGAACUCGUCUCGUAGUGGGCCA
rnacentral:lncRNA from 1 species